rnacentral:rRNA from 1 species
GAUGAACGCUAGCGGCAGGCUUAACACAUGCAAGUCGAGGGGCAGCACGAUGUAGCAAUACAUGGGUGGCGACCGGCGCACGGGUGCGUAACACGUAUGGAAUCUGCCCUUUACUGGGGAAUAGCCCUCCGAAAGGAGGAUUAAUGCCCCAUAAUAAGUUGAGUGGCAUCACUUGGCUUUGAAAGCUCCGGCGGUAAAGGAUGACCAUGGGCACGAUUAGCUAGUAGGUGAGGUAACGGCUCACCUAGGCUACGAUCGUUAGGGGGCCUGAGAGGUUUUUCCCCCACACUGGUACUGAGACACGGACCAGACUCCUAGGGGAGGCAGCAGUGAGGAAUAUUGGGCAAUGGAGGCAACUCUGACGCAGCCAUGCCGCGUGCAGGAAGAAGGCGCUACGCGUUGUAAACUGCUUUUAACCGGGAAGAAACCCCAGGACGUGUCCUGGGUUGACGGUACCGGAGGAAUAAGCACCGGCUAACUUCGUGCCAGCAGCCGCCGUAAAAC